rnacentral:lncRNA from 1 species
UGUGCCAAGUGGGCAUAGGAAUCAAACUUUCAAAAUAUUACCAGCCAAUGGGGAGCGAGAUAUAGAUCUCCUAAGAUAAGGACUCUUUCCUCUAAUCCAUAUUUAUACAGAGCCCACUAAGCCCAUCCACCACAACCAACAGCUUCUCUUGCUUACACAGCUUCUGCUUCUCAAUUAAAUUCCUCAAUGGCAACCUCGACCAUGGCUCUCUCCUCAUCAUUCGUCGGCAAGGCUGUGAACCUUGCCCCUUCAGGCAAUGAGCUGAGCAAUGGUGGCCGCAUCUCCAUGCGUAAAACCGGGAGCAAGUCUGUUUCUUCAGGUAGCCCGUGGUACGGCCCGGACAGAGUCAAGUACUUGGGCCCACUCUCUGGCGAGCCCCCAAGCUACUUGACUGGUGAGUUCCCUGGUGACUACGGUUGGGACACUGCUGGGCUUUCAGCUGACCCAGAAACCUUUGCCAAGAACCGUGAACUCGAAGUCAUCCACUGCAGAUGGGCCAUGUUGGGAGCUCUUGGAUGCGUCUUCCCGGAGCUCUUGGCCCGCAACGGAGUCAAGUUCGGUGAGGCCGUGUGGUUCAAGGCGGGGGCCCAGAUCUUCAGCGAGGGCGGGCUUGACUACUUGGGGAACCCAAGCCUGAUCCACGCUCAGAGCAUCUUGGCCAUCUGGGCUUGCCAGGUGGUCUUGAUGGGAGCCGUUGAGGGUUACAGAAUUGCUGGAGGGCCGCUCGGUGAAGUGACUGACCCAUUGUACCCAGGUGGCAGCUUUGAUCCAUUGGGUUUGGCUGAUGACCCGGAGGCUUUUGCUGAGCUCAAGGUUAAGGAAAUCAAGAAUGGAAGGUUGGCUAUGUUCUCCAUGUUUGGUUUCUUCGUUCAGGCCAUUGUCACCGGCAAGGGACCGUUAGAGAACUUGGCCGACCACUUGGCUGACCCUGUCAAUAACAAUGCCUGGGCCUACGCCACCAACUUUGUCCCCGGAAAGUGAGCUUCGGUUGAUAAGAGUUUUUCUCUUUUCGGUUUCUUGGAUAUCAUGUAAAUCUGUUGUGAGCUCAUGGAAGCUUUAAUUUGAGUUGUGAUUAUUUAUAAAAUGCUUCAAUUUGAUCUUGUUCUGCUUUUUGUUCUUUUAUUUUUUUCGGUGCUUGUGAAAUCAAUGGUGAUAACGCGAAAGAGAAUCGCAAGAUUAUAUAAAAAAAAAAAAAACCGAGGAAGGUACCACUCGUGACCUUUCUUUAAAUCAGUAAGUGUCCUUAGAGGCGAUUUUGAAGGGUAACGGGCUUCAGGUGACAGAGAUUUCCGGAAAAAUAAAGAAUUUAGGGAAAGUCAUAAACAGAAAACGAUAAGUUACAAAACAGAAACAAUACAUUUGCUAAUAAACAGUGAGUUAUCCAGUACAUGUUGCUAUAUCUCACUCAUGAUUGAGAGAAGCAUGUAUGCUGUACAUAAUUUUACAUUAAUGACUCUCUUCCUUUUUUUACUAAGUACAUCAAUGAAUCUUUGUAUCUGUAUAAAAGUAUAAAUCUAGCUCCUCAGUGAAAGUAAGAAUUCCAUGAGAAUCAUAAUUUACAUAAGCUGCAACCUAGGUUUUCAUUUACCCAAAAAAUGGAAAAAAAAAAAAAAAAAUGAAGGAUGGCCUGUAAAAUAUGGCAAAGGUGUGAAGUAGAUAGAACCCACCAAUGCAGCUUCUACAUCCAAUAAAAAAAUCUGAAACCUCUGAUCAGCAUCUGAAACCAUUGCUUCACCUGCUGCAUCUAAUGAUCAAACCAACAACUGUCUGUCUGCUGGUGGGAUUUGCAUGGAAAAUCUGUAUGAGACGCUGAGGGUAAACUAUUCUACAGGGCAGCUAGCUUAAGCACGACUUGCAGCUGCCCUUGCUCUGGCCACAGAUUUUGCAUAAAGAUCCUCAUACUGUGAUGCCGAAAAUUCCCAACUCCAAUCUAUACUCAUGACCUUUUGAACAAGCUGAUGCCAACUCUCUGGGUUGUUUCUGUAGCGACUAAUUGCACGCUCCAAACCACUAUUGACUCCCUGUCAAGUUUCAACAAUUUUAGGAAAAAUUAGAAUGACAAACAACCCAGGAACAAUAUGACCAAUUGCAAUUGGACAAGAACAAACAUGGAGUUUCUAUAAAAGCAAUGCUAGAAGAAAUAUGAUACACUAGUGGCCAAAGAACCAAAAAAAAAAAAAAAUCCAAUGCCACUUUUAUAUAAACUAAUAAGCAUUCCAUUUACCUGCUCAUCAGGAUUCAAAAAAGUAUAUCCAUUUCUGAACUGGAGAGGUAUUGUGUCAUCAUCAACAUCAAAUACACUACAGAAGAAAAUUUGUGAAAGCUAAGAAUUCUCCAAUUAGUAUAGCUUAUAUACCUGAUAUCAGUCAAUCAGUGAUUUACCUGUCGUUCAGACCUCCAGUUUUCCUUGCAACAGGUAGAGGUGGGCAAAACCGGGUUCGGGUCGGGUUCGGAUCAACCCGAUCGGAUUUCGGGUUGUUCGGGUUUAACAAAAAUUAAUCCGAAUACAACCCGAACUUCCCACCCGACCCGAUCCGAUCCGAUCCGAUAUAUAUUCGGAUCGGGUCGGGUUGUGAAUUUAGGUUGAAAUCGGGUAGGAUCGGGUUGGCCAGUUUCCUUGAUUUUGUUACAACCAUUUAAAAACACAUAAUUACAACAAUUAAAUACUAAAUAUUAAUUGUUUAAUUUAACCAUAUACACCAUCAAUUCAAAUCUUAAAAAAAAAAAGCUUAAAAAAAGCGUGAAAACUCAAGAUUCAAAGUCAAAGGUGAGAAGCUCGGGUUGAAGGAUUGGAGCAGCAGAAGCACCUUGCAGCAGAUCCGCGGCACUUGUAGUAGAUCGGUGGCCGCGGCACUUGUAGCAACAGACCGACGGAUGCGUAGCAGCAGAUUGGCGGCACUUGCAGCAAAUCGGGCAUGGAGACGCGCGGCAAAUCGGCCAUGGAGAUGCGGGUGAGGCUGUGACUUGUGCGGCGCCCUCCGUUGGCAGCUUGGCGUUGGCCCAACGCCGUUGGGGGUGACUGUGUAUGUGUUUUGUGUAGUGAGAUUGGGGAUUGUGUAAUGAGAUUGGGGAUUGAGGAGGGUUGUGAGUGUUUGUGUAAAGUAACCGUGUAUUGUGAAAAUGGGAAUUGUGAUUUGUGUGUGCGGCGUGUGUGUGGCUGUUUGCUUUAGGUUUAGGUUUUUUUUUUUUUUAUAGCAACCCGAUCGGGUUUCGGAUCGGACCCGAUCCGAUCAUUACCUGAUCGGGUUUCAUUGUUUUGAUCCGAUCGGGUUUUCUUCAUAACCCGAUCCGAUCCGAAUCCGAAAUUUUCGGGUCGGGUCGGGUAAUUUGCCCACCCCUAGCAACAGGUAUAGUACCAUAUCUCAUUGCUAUCAUCUGCAGAAAAUCAUCAAAUGUUUAAGACAAAUAUAAUCAUAAUAAUAUGAACAAUUGAAUUUGUUAUUUAGAUUCACACUUGAUUCAUAUGCAUGCAAAACAGAGGCAUUUGGCUAAUAUCUAGAUUACUGCAUUAAGUCGAACCACAGAUCUUAAGCUAUGUCAUCUAUACAGAGGUAGAUUUCAACAAAAUAAGCUUUCUUUUCAAGGUUUCAAUAUUCUGUAGGAGGUAUAAGCUUUAGCCACAUCCAUCUAUUUCUUCAUUUCUUACGACUGAAUUCACUGUUCAAGAAGAAUUACCUGUGUAAGGCCACAAGGCUCAAAGAUAGAUGGGAUAAUGAAAAUGUCUGAUGCAGCAUAAAUGGAGUGGGAAAUAGACUCAUCGUACUUCAAUAUCAGCCAAAUGUGAUCCUGAUUUUGAAAAUGAUUUGCAAUGCCCUCGAAUUCUCUCUACAGAGAAAAUAAUUAUCAUUUAAAGAAGUAAAUUGAAUGAUAAAAUAAUUAUCAUUUAAAGAAAUAAUUAUCACUGAAAUCACAAGAGUCAGCACAUUGAAUGAUAAAGUUGAAAGUAAGGAAGACUUCAAUUCAGCUCAAAAUGGAAACCAGUAGCUACAAUCAGAAAGAUCAAAGCAGCCAUCAGCUGGCAGUACAACCAAGCAAUAACUACUAAAAGUUACAAAUAAUGAAUAUAUCACAUAUAUUCAAAUCUAAACAUAAGUACAGAACAGUACUAGGAUCAUCAGAUGCCAUCACGAUGCGUAAUCACCAGUAAUCAUAGCAUGAUGCACACCAACACUUUCAAACACAAAAACUAAAGGGAAAAAAUUUGAGAAAUGGGGAAAGAAUGACACUAGCACCAGACUUCAAUAUGAUGUAACCAAGGUUCACAAUUGUUGUUUACAGUAAGAUCCCCUCCUUGCCCAAACUUUAUAUAUAAAUUGCAAAUAUUGAAUAUGUGCCGAGUGGUUAAAUAAUAUUUGUAUAAUUAGAACAAGAUGCCGAGUGGUUAAAAUUAUUCUCUCACAACUGUGAGGGUAGUAGGGUAGUGGUUCGAACUCUCCUAAAAAUAUUGUGGAAAUUUAUUUUUUUUAAAAUUUGGAUAGAGAAAUUUUUCUCUCUUUUAUAUCAUAUAAAUUAUAAUUUGAGUAAUAAUAUUGUGUAAUUUUUUUUUAAAAAAAGAACAUGAUGAACAACAAUGUUAUUAAACAAUAAUGGAUGGCGUUAUCGGAUGGCAGAAGUGGCAAUGCAUUAUUAGAAGGAGAUACGAUCUCCAAACCCGUGAAUUGGGUGAUGCAUUGCCGUAAAAAUCCGGUGAGUGGUUCUGAGUGUGCCAAGUAGGCAUAGGAAUCACACUUUCAAAAUAUUACCAGCCAAUGGGGAGCGAGAUAUAGAUCUCCUAAGAUAAGGACUCUUUCCUCUAAUCCAUAUUUAUACAAAGCCCACCAAGCCCAUCCACGACACCCAACAGCUUCUCUUGCUUGCACACUUCUGCUUCUCCAUUAAAUUCCGCAAUGGCAACCUCAACAAUGGCUCUCUCCUCAUCAUUCGUCGGCAAGGCUGUGAACCUUGCCCCUUCAGGCAAGGAGCUAAGCAAUGGUGGCCGCAUCUCCAUGCGUAAAACCGGGAGCAAGUCUGUUUCUUCAGGUAGCCCGUGGUACGGCCCGGACAGAGUCAAGUACUUGGGCCCAUUCUCUGGCGAGCCCCCAAGCUACUUGACCGGUGAGUUCCCUGGCGACUACGGUUGGGACACAGCCGGGCUUUCAGCUGACCCAGAAACCUUUGCCAAGAACCGUGAACUCGAAGUCAUCCACUGCAGAUGGGCCAUGUUGGGAGCUCUUGGAUGCGUCUUCCCGGAGCUCUUGGCCCGCAACGGAGUCAAGUUCGGUGAGGCCGUGUGGUUCAAGGCGGGAGCUCAGAUCUUCAGCGAGGGCGGGCUUGACUACUUGGGAAACCCAAGCUUGAUCCACGCCCAGAGCAUCUUGGCCAUCUGGGCUUGCCAGGUGGUCUUGAUGGGAGCCGUUGAGGGUUACAGAAUUGCUGGAGGGCCGCUCGGUGAAGUGACUGACCCAUUGUACCCAGGUGGCAGCUUUGAUCCAUUGGGUUUGGCUGAUGACCCGGAGGCUUUUGCUGAGCUCAAGGUUAAGGAAAUCAAGAAUGGAAGGUUGGCUAUGUUCUCCAUGUUUGGUUUCUUCGUUCAGGCCAUUGUCACCGGCAAGGGACCGUUAGAGAACUUGGCCGACCACUUGGCCGACCCUGUCAACAACAAUGCCUGGGCCUACGCCACGAACUUUGUCCCCGGAAAGUGAGCUUCGGUUGAUAACAUUAGUAGCGUGGAAAUUGGAAUUGAGAGUGAUUGGUUAUUGAUGUGACUCUAUUUCAACUUGCAAAACAUGUGAAUUAUGUAAUGUACUGCUACUACCAGUUUGAGGGGAUUGUAUUUUCAUUCAAUCUCUUGUCGCACGGUUCUAGUUCUAGUUCCUCCUCCUUACAGGUUGUGCCAGAAUCUAGUUACAAGUUUACAUCAACAAAAUCUCCAAUAUGUUCCCUUUUACAACUUCAUUUUGACCUUAACUAUAGCUUUAACAACAACAACCCAACAAAUCUCCAAGAAAGUAGUAACAGUGAAGCCCCGCAAGCAUUUCUUUCUCUGUCUCCACAAUUUCCACAAACCCAACAAAACACACCUCGCUUAAGCAUUAUCAACAAACUGAGAAGAUUGAUGAUGCCCAAAAGUUAAUGCAGCUGCUGGGUCUAGCAAACAAUUCUCAAGUAGAGAAGCGCUGUGAGUGUGAGGGGGAAUUCUAUAAUAAGAUUGUUGGGGGAAGGGGCCAAGGUGUGGGAGUAAAUUGAAGAGAAUGGAAGGGUGGAUUAAGUACUUUUUGAGCAGUAGUGACAUUGAACAGCUUUAGGUUGCUUAUUUGCUUCUUGGUAAAGCUGCUUUUGUUGGAAGUGAUUGUGAUUCGGUAACUUCGAGUUUCCUUAAACUAUAUAUUCUGGUAACUUCAAUUUUUUUUUUUUUAAGUAACUGCAUUGUCUAAGCUUUUUUAUGAAAGCUUUUAUUUGGAAUCGGCUUGUACUAGAGAAAAUUUCUAUAUAAUGAACCAUUCAUCAAUUACAGAUAGAAGAUAACACUUGGAGCAAUAUAUAAUACCACUAACGAAACAAGCGCUUAUGUUUUCUGAGCUUCUGAACGAUUUCCAAAUUGAAGUGCUUCAAAUGGGAAAUGACAAUCAGUCAAUUACCAAACCUUGAAUUAAUUACCCAGCUUUCCGAAUUUACAAUGGUUGAUACCAAGUGUUGAAAACAAGAAAAGGAAAUUUUGAUCUUACAAGCAAUUCCUUCUCUCUCAAGAAACAUUGUGUGAAUAUUCAUUAUUGAAAUGUAUACCAUUAAUGGAUCAUCCCAGUUCAUAAUCCAUCAAAUAAAAUCAAAAAGUUGCUAGGUCUUACCAUUUCAAUCGCCAUUAAUGGUAGCUAUACUACCACCAUCAACAUGAGAAUGUCCCAUUGUUAUGGUGACUGUCGCUGCUACUCCACUGAAUUUCUGUUUUGCCUUAUCAGUAUAUAAUAAUGCAGUGCAAGUUGCAUUAUGUAUAUAUAUUUUAAUUGCAAACCAUACAAGUUAUACUACAUUUUUCAUUUGGCGAUUGAGAUUUUCCAACCACAGAAUGAGACAGAAACCUCUUAUUUCUCUAAACAAAAUAUCCUCUUUAAUUGAACUUUGCUGAGGUUUUUAACCAACUUACAUUUUCCUGGUUUAGUAGUGAGGGCUAGAGCCUAGAGGCGCUUGUGCAAUUUGAACCCAUGACGAUGCGGACGUUGGGCAGGAAGAUUAAUGGAACAAUUAUACGUCGUCAUGAUAGCUGAAACACAAAUAAUGAAGUUUUCGUGGCAGAUAGGAUGCCUGCAGAAAGUAUCUGGAAAGGAAAAUCGAAACGUAUCAUUGUUGUACGGCAAUAAACUAAGUUGUGAGGAUACAUUAAUUUGUCCACUAACAAAUAUUGAAAUUCUUGAUUUUAGUCGAGCAUAAGAUCUCUGUCUACCCAUCGAUCCUUUUUCAUGUUGAUUUUUUGGGCUGUUCCCAUCCUCGUUUCUCAAUAUUACUGUAUCUGGAAUUUCUGGUUUGUAAUCAAAGUAAAUUUGGAUGUUUUACGAGACUAGAUAUUUCUUUAUGAUGUUCAUCUCAUUCUUAUUAGUUUCUCAAUAUAUUUGUACAUUUUCAACGUUUAAAAUUUAUUUAUUUUAUAUAUUUUAGUAAUAUAUUUAUUUUAACAAAGUAAAUAUAUUAUGAUUAGAGGAAGACGCUCUCUCACUUUAUAUAUAUAGCACAUAAUAAAAUAGAAAACACAAUUAGUAAUAAAUAAUAUUUGAAUAAUUAGAGUAAGAUGCUGGGUGGUUAGAACCAGUGGUGAAGCUAGUACUAUUUUUUAGGGUGGGCUAGAUUUUUUUUAAAUUCAAUUACUUCUCAAAAAAAAAUUUAUAUACAAAUGAAAUUAUUAAAAUACACUAGACAAGCAAAAAACUAAUAAUAAAACUAUAAAAGUACAAUGUAAAUAAAAAAACACUAUCGAUGAAAUUUUAUCCGAUUCUUCAAAAAAAAAUUCAUAUAGUAUCGUAUCUGAAUUAUUUUGUGUGCGAUAAUAAUAUAUUAGAGAAUUAUUAAUUAUUUUAUCAAAAAAUUUGACAAAAAUAUAAGCUAAUAACUAAUUAAAAAACAGUAUGAGCAUAUGGGUGCAGCAGAGGCUGACCGUCAAUCAUGAGGUGGCAACUUGAUGACUUGAACAGCUGAGUUUUGAGAAAUUUAGACUUUGAAUAAUUAGAUCAAUUAGUUAGGAAUUUGGGUGAGUUUUUCGAUUUAGAGAAAAUAAAUAUUAACUAUAAUUAUUCGUUAUAUUUUUAUAUUUUAUUUUAAGUUUUUUAAAAAGAAUAAAUUUAUAAUUAAUUCAUUUUUUUUUCAAGAAACUAACCCGGGCUACAGCCCGAGUUAGCCUUCUUGAUAGCUUCGCCCCUGGUUAGAACCACUCCCUCACAACUGUGAGGGUAGUGGUUCGAACUCUCUUAAAAAUAGUAUAGGGAUUUAAUUUCUUUUCUCAAAUUUGGAUGGAUACAUUUUUUCCUCUUUCAUAUAAUAUAAACUAGAAAAUAGAACCGCGCUUCACGCGGCUUUGAAAAAAUAAUUUAGUAUUAUCCUUUUUUUUUUAUUUUACACUUGAUGAAACUGAUAAAAAAUAUGAAUUGAUUUUUUUUUAAGAUGAGGCAGCCUUAUAAAAUUAAUGUUAUUUAUGAAAGUUAAUUAUUUGUUUGUUAACUUUAAAUAUAUAUAUAUAUAUAUAUAUAUUAAUGUGUAUAGUUAAGUGUACAAAUCUUAUACCUUUUGUAGUUGUUGAUAAGUUCCAAAUUAUAUUCAACUUGCUAAUCUUUUAGAACUUUUAUAUCUCUUUUUUGCAAACCAGCUCCAACGAUCUCAAUAUCACCCACACCACAUAAACUUCCGACAACAUCUGUAAUAUUAUGAAAAAAUAAUAUAAAUAUGUUAAAACAUAAGGAUCAAUAAUUUCUAAUAUACACUUAAAGAUUAACAAAUAUUAAUAAUUAAAAAAAUAUCUCAGAGGAUUGUGUUAUCAUUCACACGUAUGUUAACCAAUAAAAGUUAGAAAUGUUGAAUGCAGUAGAAGUAUCCAAUGCGGUCGUCGAAAAUUGGGUGGUUUAAACCAAAAAAAAAAAAGCUAUUAGCCAGAAACACAAAUAAAGAAGCAACGCAAGAUAAAAAAUAAAAUGAAAGAAUAUAUUAUAGAGUGAUUUUAUUCAUUCUAAUUGUGUGUGUACAAAAUAAAAAGAUGAGCUCUCGUUUUAGGGAGCCCUUAUGUUACAAUUAAUGUAACAUACACACUCAACAACAACCACACAAAUGAUGGGCCCACACAAUUUGUGUGGUUGUUGUUAAGUGUGUAUGUUACAUUAAUUGUAACAUAGCAUUUGCCCUCGUUUUAUAGUUACAUAAUCACUUCAUAAAAUUAAUGAAAAAUUAUGGAUCAUAAUUCCUUGUGAGAUAGUGGGAAUUAUAGGGAAGCUAAAGGUUGCUAAUAGGAGAUAGUGAGGAGACUAAGAAAUAUAUAUUAUGAACAUCUACAUUUAUUUUAAUAAAUUUAUAAUACUCCCCCUUGAAUGUUCAUUACAAAGAAUAUGCCUCAUUAAAAUCUUUACAUAAUUGUUAUUGUGUAAUAACAAUCAAAUUAAUUAUGAGAAGAUGAAAGACCAAAUCUAAAAGAAAACUUCUCUAUUUAUUAGAUAAUAGAGAAUAUACAAAAAUGAAAAAUGGUGAUGCCAUAUCACCUCCUCAAGUCCCAGUUUUAUAUAUAUAUAAAUAGAUUAUAAUUUGAGUAAUAAUUUGUGUAAUUUUUUUUAAAAAUAUUAUGGAGAUUUAAUUUUUUUUUCUCAAAUUUAGAUGGAUACAUAUUUCCCUCUUUCAUAUAAUAUAAAUUGGAAUUUGAGUAAUAAUAAUAUGUAAUAUUUUUUUUAAAAAAAGAACAUGAUGAACAACAAUGUUAUUAAACAAUUAUGGAUGGCGCUAUCGGAUGGCAGAAGUGGCAAUGCAUUAUUGGAAGGAGAUACGAUCUCCAAACCCGUGAAUUAGGUGAUGCAUUGUCGUAAAAAUCCGGUGAGUGGUUCUGAGUGUGCCAAGUGGGCAUAGGAAUCAAACUUUCAAAAUAUUACCAGCCAAUGGGGAGCGAGAUAUAGAUCUCCUAAGAUAAGGACUCUUUCCUCUAAUCCAUAUUUAUACAGAGCCCACUAAGCCCAUCCACCACAACCAACAGCUUCUCUUGCUUACACAGCUUCUCUUGCUUACCCAGCUUCUGCUUCUCAAUUAAAUUCCUCAAUGGCAACCUCAACAAUGGCUCUCUCCUCAUCAUUCGUCGGCAAGGCCGUGAACCUCGCCCCUUCAGGCAAUGAGCUAAGCAAUGGUGGCCGCAUCUCCAUGCGUAAAACCGGGAGCAAGUCUGUUUCUUCAGGUAGCCCGUGGUACGGCCCAGACAGAGUCAAGUACUUGGGCCCAUUCUCUGGCGAGCCCCCAAGCUACUUGACCGGUGAGUUCCCUGGCGACUACGGUUGGGACACAGCCGGGCUUUCAGCUGACCCAGAAACCUUUGCCAAGAACCGUGAACUCGAAGUCAUCCACUGCAGAUGGGCCAUGUUGGGAGCUCUUGGAUGCGUCUUCCCGGAGCUCUUGGCCCGCAACGGAGUCAAGUUCGGUGAGGCCGUAUGGUUCAAGGCGGGGGCCCAGAUCUUCAGCGAGGGCGGGCUUGACUACUUGGGGAACCCAAGCCUGAUCCACGCCCAGAGCAUCUUGGCCAUCUGGGCUUGCCAGGUGGUCUUGAUGGGAGCCGUUGAGGGUUACAGAAUUGCUGGAGGGCCGCUCGGUGAAGUGACUGACCCAUUGUACCCAGGUGGCAGCUUUGAUCCAUUGGGUUUGGCUGAUGACCCGGAGGCUUUUGCUGAGCUCAAGGUUAAGGAAAUCAAGAAUGGAAGGUUGGCUAUGUUCUCCAUGUUUGGUUUCUUCGUUCAGGCCAUUGUCACCGGCAAGGGACCGUUAGAGAACUUGGCCGACCACUUGGCCGACCCUGUCAACAACAAUGCCUGGGCCUACGCCACGAACUUUGUCCCCGGAAAGUGAGCUUCGGUUGAUAACAUUAGUAGCGUGGAAAUUGGAAUUGAGAGUGAUUGGUUAUUGAUGUGACUCUAUUUCAACUUGCAAAACAUGUGAAUUAUGUAAUGUACUGCUACUACCAGUUUGAGGGGAUUGUAUUUUCAUUCAAUCUCUUGUCGCACGGUUCUAGUUCUAGUUCCUCCUCCUUACAGGUUGUGCCAGAAUCUAGUUACAAGUUUACAUCAACAAAAUCUCCAAUAUGUUCCCUUUUACAACUUCAUUUUGACCUUAACUAUAGCUUUAACAACAACAACCCAACAAAUCUCCAAGAAAGUAGUAACAGUGAAGCCCCGCAAGCAUUUCUUUCUCUGUCUCCACAAUUUCCACAAACCCAACAAAACACACCUCGCUUAAGCAUUAUCAACAAACUGAGAAGAUUGAUGAUGCCCAAAAGUUAAUGCAGCUGCUGGGUCUAGCAAACAAUUCUCAAGUAGAGAAGCGCUGUGAGUGUGAGGGGGAAUUCUAUAAUAAGAUUGUUGGGGGAAGGGGCCAAGGUGUGGGAGUAAAUUGAAGAGAAUGGAAGGGUGGAUUAAGUACUUUUUGAGCAGUAGUGACAUUGAACAGCUUUAGGUUGCUUAUUUGCUUCUUGGUAAAGCUGCUUUUGUUGGAAGUGAUUGUGAUUCGGUAACUUCGAGUUUCCUUAAACUAUAUAUUCUGGUAACUUCAAUUUUUUUUUUUUUAAGUAACUGCAUUGUCUAAGCUUUUUUAUGAAAGCUUUUAUUUGGAAUCGGCUUGUACUAGAGAAAAUUUCUAUAUAAUGAACCAUUCAUCAAUUACAGAUAGAAGAUAACACUUGGAGCAAUAUAUAAUACCACUAACGAAACAAGCGCUUAUGUUUUCUGAGCUUCUGAACGAUUUCCAAAUUGAAGUGCUUCAAAUGGGAAAUGACAAUCAGUCAAUUACCAAACCUUGAAUUAAUUACCCAGCUUUCCGAAUUUACAAUGGUUGAUACCAAGUGUUGAAAACAAGAAAAGGAAAUUUUGAUCUUACAAGCAAUUCCUUCUCUCUCAAGAAACAUUGUGUGAAUAUUCAUUAUUGAAAUGUAUACCAUUAAUGGAUCAUCCCAGUUCAUAAUCCAUCAAAUAAAAUCAAAAAGUUGCUAGGUCUUACCAUUUCAAUCGCCAUUAAUGGUAGCUAUACUACCACCAUCAACAUGAGAAUGUCCCAUUGUUAUGGUGACUGUCGCUGCUACUCCACUGAAUUUCUGUUUUGCCUUAUCAGUAUAUAAUAAUGCAGUGCAAGUUGCAUUAUGUAUAUAUAUUUUAAUUGCAAACCAUACAAGUUAUACUACAUUUUUCAUUUGGCGAUUGAGAUUUUCCAACCACAGAAUGAGACAGAAACCUCUUAUUUCUCUAAACAAAAUAUCCUCUUUAAUUGAACUUUGCUGAGGUUUUUAACCAACUUACAUUUUCCUGGUUUAGUAGUGAGGGCUAGAGCCUAGAGGCGCUUGUGCAAUUUGAACCCAUGACGAUGCGGACGUUGGGCAGGAAGAUUAAUGGAACAAUUAUACGUCGUCAUGAUAGCUGAAACACAAAUAAUGAAGUUUUCGUGGCAGAUAGGAUGCCUGCAGAAAGUAUCUGGAAAGGAAAAUCGAAACGUAUCAUUGUUGUACGGCAAUAAACUAAGUUGUGAGGAUACAUUAAUUUGUCCACUAACAAAUAUUGAAAUUCUUGAUUUUAGUCGAGCAUAAGAUCUCUGUCUACCCAUCGAUCCUUUUUCAUGUUGAUUUUUUGGGCUGUUCCCAUCCUCGUUUCUCAAUAUUACUGUAUCUGGAAUUUCUGGUUUGUAAUCAAAGUAAAUUUGGAUGUUUUACGAGACUAGAUAUUUCUUUAUGAUGUUCAUCUCAUUCUUAUUAGUUUCUCAAUAUAUUUGUACAUUUUCAACGUAUUAAAAUUUAUUUAUUUUAUAUAUUUUAGUAAUAUAUUUAUUUUAACAAAGUAAAUAUAUUAUGAUUAGAGGAAGACGCUCUCUCACUUUAUAUAUAUAGCACAUAAUAAAAUAGAAAACACAAUUAGUAAUAAAUAAUAUUUGAAUAAUUAGAGUAAGAUGCUGGGUGGUUAGAACCAGUGGUGAAGCUAGUACUAUUUUUUAGGGUGGGCUAGAUUUUUUUUAAAUUCAAUUACUUCUCAAAAAAAAUUUAUAUACAAAUGAAAUUAUUAAAAUACACUAGACAAGCAAAAAACUAAUAAUAAAACUAUAAAAGUACAAUGUAAAUAAAAAAACACUAUCGAUGAAAUUUUAUCCGAUUCUUCAAAAAAAAAUUCAUAUAGUAUCGUAUCUGAAUUAUUUUGUGUGCGAUAAUAAUAUAUUAGAGAAUUAUUAAUUAUUUUAUCAAAAAAUUUGACAAAAAUAUAAGCUAAUAACUAAUUAAAAAACAGUAUGAGCAUAUGGGUGCAGCAGAGGCUGACCGUCAAUCAUGAGGUGGCAACUUGAUGACUUGAACAGCUGAGUUAUGAGAAAUUUAGACUUUGAAUAAUUAGAUCAAUUAGUUAGGAAUUUGGGUGAGUUUUUCGAUUUAGAGAAAAUAAAUAUUAACUAUAAUUAUUCGUUAUAUUUUUAUAUUUUAUUUUAAGUUUUUUAAAAAGAAUAAAUUUAUAAUUAAUUCAUAUUUUUUUUCAAGAAACUAACCCGGGCUACAGCCCGAGUUAGCCUUCUUGAUAGCUUCGCCCCUGGUUAGAACCACUCCCUCACAACUGUGAGGGUAGUGGUUCGAACUCUCUUAAAAAUAGUAUAUGGAUUUAAUUUCUUUUCUCAAAUUUGGAUGGAUACAUUUUUUCCUCUUUCAUAUAAUAUAAACUAGAAAAUAGAACCGCGCUUCACGCGGCUUUGAAAAAAUAAUUUAGUAUUAUCCUUUUUUUUAUUUUACACUUGAUGAAACUGAUAACAAAUAUGAAUUGAUUUUUUUUAAGAUGAGGCAGCCUUAUAAAAUUAAUGUUAUUUAUGAAAGUUAAUUAUUUGUUUGUUAACUUUAAAUAUAUAUAUAUAUAUAUAUUAAUGUGUAUAGUUAAGUGUACAAAUCUUAUACCUUUUGUAGUUGUUGAUAAGUUCCAAAUUAUAUUCAACUUGCUAAUCUUUUAGAACUUUUAUAUCUCUUUUUUGCAAACCAGCUCCAACGAUCUCAAUAUCACCCACACCACAUAAACUUCCGACAACAUCUGUAAUAUUAUGAAAAAAUAAUAUAAAUAUGUUAAAACAUAAGGAUCAAUAAUUUCUAAUAUACACUUAAAGAUUAACAAACAUUAAUAAUUAAAAAAAUAUCUCAGAGGAUUGUGUUAUCAUUCACACGUAUGUUAACCAAUAAAAGUUAGAAAUGUUGAAUGCAGUAGAAGUAUCCAAUGCGGUCGUCGAAAAUUGGGUGGUUUAAACCAAAAAAAAAAAAGCUAUUAGCCAGAAACACAAAUAAAGAAGCAACGCAAGAUAAAAAAUAAAAUGAAAGAAUAUAUUAUAAAGUGAUUUUAUUCAUUCUAAUUGUGUGUGUACAAAAUAAAAAGAUGAGCUCUCGUUUUAGGGAGCUCUUAUGUUACAAUUAAUGUAACAUACACACUCAACAACAACCACACAAAUGAUGGGCCCACACAAUUUGUGUGGUUGUUGUUAAGUGUGUAUGUUACAUUAAUUGUAACAUAGCAUUUGCCCUCGUUUUAUAGUUACAUAAUCACUUCAUAAAAUUAAUGAAAAAUUAUGGUUCAUAAUUCCUUGUGAGAUAGUAGGAAUUAUAGGGAAGCUAAAGGUUGCUAAUAGGAGAUAGUGGGGAGACUAAGAAAUAUAUAUUAUGAACAUCUACAUUUAUUUUAAUAAAUUUAUAAUACUCCCCCUUAAAUGUUCAUUACAAAGAAUAUGCCUCAUUAAAAUCUUUACAUAAUUGUUAUUGUGUAAUAACAAUCAAAUUAAUUAUGAGAAGAUGAAUGACCAAAUCUAAAAGAAAACUUCUCUAUUUAUUAGAUAAUAGAGAAUAUACAAAAAUGAAAAAUGGUGAUGCCAUAUCACCUCCUCAAGUCCCAGUUAUAUAUAUAUAUAAAUAGAUUAUAAUUUGAGUAAUAAUAUUGUGUAAUUUUUUUUAAAAAUAUUAUGGAGAUUUAAUUUUUUUUUUCUCAAAUUUAGAUGGAUACAUAUUUCCCUCUUUCAUAUAAUAUAAAUUGGAAUUUGAGUAAUAAUAAUAUGUAAUAUUUUUUUAAAAAAAGAACAUGAUGAACAACAAUGUUAUUAAACAAUUAUGGAUGGCGCUAUCGGAUGGCAGAAGUGGCAAUGCAUUAUUGGAAGGAGAUACGAUCUCCAAACCCGUGAAUUAGGUGAUGCAUUGUCGUAAAAAUCCGGUGAGUGGUUCUGAGUGUGCCAAGUGGGCAUAGGAAUCAAACUUUCAAAAUAUUACCAGCCAAUGGGGAGCGAGAUAUAGAUCUCCUAAGAUAAGGACUCUUUCCCCUAAUCCAUAUUUAUACAGAGCCCACUAAGCCCAUCCACCACAACCAACAGCUUCUCUUGCUUACACAGCUUCUCUUGCUUACCCAGCUUCUGCUUCUCAAUUAAAUUCCUCAAUGGCAACCUCAACAAUGGCUCUCUCCUCAUCAUUCGUCGGCAAGGCCGUGAACCUCGCCCCUUCAGGCAAUGAGCUAAGCAAUGGUGGCCGCAUCUCCAUGCGUAAAACCGCGAGCAAGUCUGUUUCUUCAGGUAGCCCGUGGUACGGCCCAGACAGAGUCAAGUACUUGGGCCCAUUCUCUGGCGAGCCCCCAAGCUACUUGACCGGUGAGUUCCCUGGCGACUACGGUUGGGACACAGCCGGGCUUUCAGCUGACCCAGAAAC